rnacentral:rRNA from 1 species
UCGGGAAUUUUGGGCAAUGGGCGAAAGCCUGACCCAGCAACGCCGCGUGAAGGAUGAAGUAUUUCGGUAUGUAAACUUCGAAAGAAUAGGAAGAAUAAAUGACGGUACUAUUUAUAAGGUCCGGCUAACUACGUGCCAGCAGCCGCGGUAAUACGUAGGGACCAAGCGUUGUUCGGAUUUACUGGGCGUAAAGGGCGCGUAGGCGGCAAUUCAAGUCAUCUGUGAAAUCUCCGGGCUUAACUCGGAACGGUCAGAUGAUACUGCUUUGCUAGAGUGCAGAAGGGGCAAUCGGAAUUCUUGGUGUAGCGGUGAAAUGCGUAGAUAUCAAGAGGAACACCUGAGGCGAAGGCAGCUUGCUGGACGAGAUCUGACGCUGAAGCACGAAAGCGUGGGGAGCAAAAGGGAUUAGAUACCCCUGUAGUCCCUGAGCGGGCUGGCAAGGCGCAU